rfam:Ovis aries breed Texel chromosome 5, whole genome shotgun sequence.
UCCCUGGUGGCUCAGAUGGUAAAGCAUCUAUCUACAAUGCAGGAGACCUGGGUUCAAUCCCUGGGUAGGGAA